rnacentral:rRNA from 1 species
AUUGAACGCUGGCGGCAUGCCUUACACAUGCAAGUCGAACGGCAGCAUGGAAGAGCUUGCUCUUCUGAUGGCGAGUGGCGAACGGGUGAGUAAAGCAUCGGAACGUACCGUGUAAUGGGGGAUAACGUAGCGAAAGUUACGCUAAUACCGCAUACGACCUGAGGGUGAAAGCAGGGGAUCGCAAGACCUUGCGUUAUACGAGCGGCCGAUGUCAGAUUAGCUAGUUGGUGAGGUAAAGGCUCACCAAGCCAACGAUCUGUAGCUGGUCUGAGAGGACGACCAGCCACACUGGAACUGAGACACGGUCCAGACUCCUACGGGAGGCAGCAGUGGGGAAUUUUGGACAAUGGACGCAAGUCUGAUCCAGCCAUUCCGCGUGCAGGAUGAAGGCCCUCGGGUUGUAAACUGCUUUUGUACGGAACGAAAAGGUUUCUAUUAAUACUAGGAGCUCAUGACGGUACCGUAAGAAUAAGCACCGGCUAACUACG